AAGAGCUUUCGUGAGUCACGGCUCACUUCUUCAGAUACAGCUAGAAUGGGAGUCCAUCUGCCUUUAUAGCUUGAUCUGUCUCCUUAAUGCAGUUUUGGUCAUUGUAGACAUACCAUUUAAUAUCAGUAUUCCAUGUGAUGAGCCUCACACAAUCAGCCUUAACAUCAGAUUUGGAGAUGUAAAUAAUGGGGAAAAAUGACUUACGGUUUUCUAAACUAUUUCCAAACUGGUCUGGGAGUAUAAAUAAGUCUGUUGUCAACAAAACCUGAUAAAGGAACAGAUUGAGAUGGAUCUUUACCUGGAAACCUUUUGUUCUGAUUUUUUUUUGCUACAGGUAUACUGCCUCUGGCCAGAGAGGUUCUAUUUAGCUCUCAUGGCUAGUAGCCCAUUGCUUGAUCUGUCCAACAUUACCCACUCUGGCAUAAAGAGAAUAAUUUAAAUGUCUUCUUUCUUCCAUGGAGGAACAUGAAGUUCUGCCCUUCCUUUGCAGUCUAAGUGCUGCUUUCUUCCAUAAUAUCUACUCAAUUUUCCUUCUGGCUGUACAAGUAGGAACAUCCUGUUUUGAGUUGUACUCCGGGAUCUAUAGUUGGGUUGGACUGUCUUCCCACCUGAACAGCUGAGAAUGCCAGAGUCUUUGCACCACUGGAGGGAGUCCUCUUGCGUAGGCGGCUGGUUUUGCAGUUGCUCGGAUCUCCCAAGGGACUCAUUCUGACUAUGGAAGCAAGGAAUCCAGACACACGACAGUUCUAUGAGGAUGCAACAAGAUGCAGCACUACUGAAUGCCGGGGCUGGGCCCCUGUGCUAGAAGUGACUUCAGCCAAGUAUCAGUCCACAGUUCUCAAACACUGGAGCGUGAGAAGGGCACAACCUGCAAGCAUUUUCCUUGCUUGCUAUUUAUAUAAUUUAAGAUUCUCACUUUGACCAAGCAAGCAGAUUGUUCUAUCUGAUCUACACCUGCAAAGGAUAGUGGGAUGUGGGAUGGACACACCCAGCACUGGGAUGCUGCUGUACUCUAUGUGUGCUGCUGAAGUCACAAAUGGAGCUGUCAACUCUGAACUGGGAAUCAGUUGCCUCAAUUAUACCCUGUAGAUGGGAUCUCCCAGCUGUUUUCCAAAAUGGAUCACACCAUGAAA